CACCGAAAGCAGAACCAUGCCAUCCACUGUGCGGCUCUCCUCCCCGGGCAGCCCUCCCCUUCCUGUGUCUCCUGUGAAACACCGUCAUGUCUUGGCCUCGUCGGGGCUCAGCGCCCCAGCCCACACCCAGGCCGCACCAGUCACACCACUGCGCUCCACACUGACCCAGUGCACACAGACCCAUCACCCUCUACUGUGUGUUUAGGUGUCCAGCCCCCCACCUGCCAUGGGGGCUCUGUGUCCCCGCCCCGUCCUUUCCCACCUGUCUCAGGAAGGCAGCUCCAACUCUGCUCUUUGCUUAGUGAGCAAGUGGAUUCAGAUGCACCAGGCCGUGAGCCGUGGGUAGAUGCGCUGGCUCCCUCCCUCCGAGGCUACUUCUCAGGGCUGGAAGUCCCGUCAGUUCUGCUGAAUACUAUGUCCCAGGUGUGUGAUGGCGGCUGCAAUCUGUCUUGUGGGUAUUAAUGCAAUCUUCAGUGGUGGCUCCUGUUCUCUAGCUGUUCUACAAAACUGGAGCAUGCUGGCUUGAAAAAACCUUGCCCAGUUUUGAUCCCUUCAAGACUUUGUCACAGCCUCUAUCACACAUCUGUUUUUCUCGAAGAAAAAAAUAAUAAAAAUGUUUUACUCUUUUACACUGUAUAA
rnacentral:sRNA from 1 species